CACACCGCCCGUCACACCAUGGAAGUUGGUCACGCCCGAAGUCGUUACCCCAACCUAUUGGAGGGGGAUGCCUAAGGUAGGACUGAUGACUGGGGUGAAGUCGUAACAAGGUAGCCGUACCGGAAGGUGUGGCUGGAUCACCUCCUUUUAGGGAG
rnacentral:rRNA from 1 species